GACGAAGGGGCUAGCGUUGUUCGGAAUUACUGGCGUAAAGCGCGUGUAGGCGGUUGUCCAAGUUGGAUGUGAAAGCCUUGAGCUCACUCAGAAAUGCAUUCAGGACUGGAUGACUGAGAGGACCGGAGAGGAUAGUGGAAUUCCAGUGAUAGUGGUGAAAUUCGUAGAUAUUGGGAAGAACAGCCGGUGGCGAAGGCGGACGCACU
rnacentral:rRNA from 1 species